AUGGUCCUCUCCGAUACGGCUUUUCGAACUAUCGCUAAUCAAAUUGCAUCCAUUAACAUUGAGUUUCAAAAGGUUUGAAUAUGGUGAUAUUGCGUAUUCCAUUGACAAUACUUUUAUUCAUAUGUAAUCAGCAACUUGCACACAUUUUUUAUAGCGACUCUAGAAUGUUUUCGUAUGGAAAAGUCAGACGAGUAUUAGUUGAC
rnacentral:lncRNA from 1 species